UAGUAAUUCUAGAGCUAAUACAUGUGAGCAACUGUGCAGGGGCAACCCUGUACGCGCAUUGGCGAACUUUAAAACCAACGGGUGUAAAAGCCCUGAGGGGUGAAUUAGCUGAUGCUGUAGACCGCAGAGGCUUUUGGCCGGCGGCGGCCGUUUUAAAUUUCUGCCCUAUCAACUUUCGAUGGCAGUGCAGUGUACAGCCAUGGUUUUGACGGGUAACGGGGAACCAGGGUUCGGUUCCGGAGAGGGAGCCUGAGAGAUGGCUACCACUUCUAAGGAAGGCAGCAGGCGCGCAAAUUACCCAAUGAUAGUUCAUCGAGGUAGUGACAAUAAAUAACAAUCCUGGCCACAUUCGUGGUUGGGAAUUGGAAUGAGCACAAUUUAAAUCCCUUAACAAGGAACAAUUGGAGGACAAGUCUGGUGCCAGCACCCGCGGUAAUUCCAGCUCCAAUAGCGUAUAUUAAAGUUGUUGUAGUUAAAAAGCUCGUAGUUGAAAUUCAGGGUUUAGCCUGCAUGGUCUGCCGGGAAGGUGUGAACUUGCUUGCUUGCCCAUAUUACCGCACUGGCGGAGGCUGUCCUUAACUGGAUGUCCCGAGCCAAGCGGACGUUUACUUUGAAAAAAUUAGAGUGUUUAAAGCAGGCUCUAUCAGCAUGAAUAGAUUAGCAUGGGAUAAUGGAACAAGGCAACGUCUUGAUUUCGUUGGUUUUUACGGACGCUGCAAUGAUUAAUAGGAAUUGUCGGGGGUAUUCAUAUUUUGCGGUCAGAGGUGAAAUUCUUGGAUUCGUGAAAGAUGAACUAUUGCGAAAGCAUUUAUCAAGGAUGUUUUCAUUGAUCAAGAACGAUAGUUUGGGGAUCGAAGACGAUCAGAUACCGUCGUAGUCCAAACUGUAAACGAUGCCGACCAGCAAUGUGGCGACGUUACAUGGAAGACUCCCUCUGAGGCUUGCGAGAAAUCAUAAGUCUUUGGGUUCCGGGGGGAGUAUGGUCGCAAGGCUGAAACUUAAAGGAAUUGACGGAAGGGCACACCAGGAGUGGAGCCUGCGGCU
rnacentral:rRNA from 1 species